AAGGCAUCUUUUUAUUUUUAAAAGACCUAGCAAUAGGUAUGCUUAGGGAAGAGCUUGCGUCACAUUAGUUAGUUGGUGGGGUAAUGGCCUACCAAGACGAUGAUGUGUAGCCGGGCUGAGAGGUCGAACGGCCACAUUGGGACUGAGACACGGCCCAAACUCCUACGGGAGGCAGCAGUAAGGAAUUUUCGGCAAUGGAGGAAACUCUGACCGAGCAAUGCCGCGUGAACGAUGAAGUAUUUCGGUACGUAAAGUUCUUUUAUUAGGGAAGAAAAGAUGGUGGAAAAACCAUUAUGACGGUACCUAAUGAAUAAGCCCCGGCUAACUAUGUGCCAGCAGCCGCGGUAAUACAUAGGGGGCAAGCGUUAUCCGGAAUUAUUGGGCGUAAAGGGUGCGUAGGCGGUUAAAUAAGUUUAUGGUCUAAGUGCAACGCUCAACGUUGUGAUGCUAUAAAAACUGUUUAGCUAGAGUUGGAUAGAGGCAAGUGGAAUUCCGUGUGUAGUGGUAAAAUGCGUAAAUAUACGGAGGAACACCAGAAGCGAAGGCGGCUUGCUGGGUCUUAACUGACGCUGAGGCACGAAAGCGUGGGGAGCAAACAGGAUUAGAUACCCUGGUAGUCCACGCCCUAAACGAUGAGUACUAAACGUUGGAUAAAACCAGUGUUGAAGUUAACACAUUAAGUACUCCGCCUGAGUAGUACGUACGCAAGUAUGAAACUUAAAGGAAUUGACGGGACUCCGCACAAGCGGUGGAUCAUGUUGUUUAAUUCGAAGGUACCCGAAAAACCUCACCAGGUCUUGACAUGCUUUUGCAAAGCUGUAGAAAUACAGUGGAGGUUAUCAGAAGCACAGGUGGUGCAUGGUUGUCGUCAGCUCGUGUCGUGAGAUGUUGGGUUAAGUCCCGCAACGAGCGCAACCCUUGUUGUUAAUUGCCAUCAUUAAGUUGGGGACUUUAGCAAGACUGCCAAUGAUAAAUUGGAGGAAGGUGGGGACGACGUCAAAUCAUCAUGCCCCUUAUGACCUGGGCUACAAACGUGAUACAAUGGCUGUUACAAAGGGUAGCUAAAGCGUAAGCUUCUGGCGAAUCUCAAAAAAGCAGUCUCAGUUCGGAUUGAAGUCUGCAACUCGACUUCAUGAAGUUGGAAUCGCUAGUAAUCGCGAAUCAGCAUGUCGCG
rnacentral:rRNA from 1 species